GUGCUCACUUUGGCAACACAUAUACUAAAACUGGAACAAUACAGAGAUGAGCACAGCCCUUGCACAAGGAUGACAUGCAAAUUCGUUAAGCAUUCCAUAUUUUU
rnacentral:snRNA from 1 species